rnacentral:rRNA from 1 species
UACGUAGGGUGCAAGCGUUAAUCGGAAUUACUGGGCGUAAAGCGUGCGCAGGCGGUUCGGAAAGAAAGAUGUGAAAUCCCAGGGCUUAACCUUGGAACUGCAUUUUUAACUGCCGGGCUAGAGUAUGUCAGAGGGGGGUAGAAUUCCACGUGUAGCAGUGAAAUGCGUAGAGAUGUGGAGGAAUACCGAUGGCGAAGGCAGCCACCUGGGAUAAUACUGACGCUCAUGCACGAAAGCGUGGGGAGCAAACAGG